ACACUCCUGCGGGAGGCAGCAGUGGGGAAUAUUGGACAAUGGGCGCAAGCCUGAUCCAGCCAUGCCGCGUGAGUGAUGAAGGCCCUAGGGUUGUAAAGCUCUUUCACCGGUGAAGAUAAUGACGGUAACCGGAGAAGAAGCCCCGGCUAACUUCGUGCCAGCAGCCGCGGUAAUACGAAGGGGGCUAGCGUUGUUCGGAUUUACUGGGCGUAAAGCGCACGUAGGCGGACUAUUAAGUCAGGGGUGAAAUCCCGGGGCUCAACCCCGGAACUGCCUUUGAUACUGGUAGUCUUGAGUUCGAGAGAGGUGAGUGGAAUUCCGAGUGUAGAGGUGAAAUUCGUAGAUAUUCGGAGGAACACCAGGGGCGAAGGCGGCUCACUGGCGCGAUACUGACGCUGAGGUGCGAAAGCGUGGGGAGCAAACAGGAUUAGAUACCCGGGUAGUCCCAUG
rnacentral:rRNA from 1 species